GCUCCUACCGAUACCGGGUGAUCCGGUGAACCUUUUGGACCGUUUUCGGGAAAAUAAGUAAACCUUAUCACCUAGAGGAAGGAGAAGUCGUAACAAGGUUUCC
rnacentral:rRNA from 1 species